UUUAGAACUCAAUAUAUGGGCUGAAUACCGAACAGUGUCUGGGCGGCAGAACAUAUUCAAAUUUCUCUUUUGUUGCUAAGAUUUGAACUUGAAAAUGGUAGCUUUGAAUUUUAUUCUUCAUGAAUGUUUUAGGCCUAUGUCUUAGCUUUUCAUC
rfam:Populus trichocarpa scaffold_34_contig_2, whole genome shotgun sequence.